GGACCCGUGCCCGAGUGGACAAAGGGGGUCGGUUCAGGUCCGAUUGGAGAGAUCCUUCCGGGGUUCGAAUCCCCGCGGGUCCA
rnacentral:tRNA from 1 species